rnacentral:rRNA from 1 species
GUGAGGAAUUUUCCGCAAUGGGCGAAAGCCUGACGGAGCAAUGCCGCGUGAAGGAUGAAGGCCUAUGGGUUGUAAACUUCUUUUCUCAGAAAAGAAUUAUGACGGUAUCUGAGGAAUAAGCAUCGGCUAACUCUGUGCCAGCAGCCGCGGUAAGACAGAGGAUGCAAGCGUUAUCCGGAAUGAUUGGGAGUAAAGCGUCUGUAGGUUGUUUAAAAAGUAUUCUGUCAAAGAUUAGGGCUUAACCCUAGAUAGGCAGAAUAAACUUUUAAGCUAGAGUUUGGUAGAGGCAGAGGGAAUUCCCGGUGGAGCGGUGAAAUGCGUAGAUAUCGGGAGGAACACCAAAGGCGAAGGCACUCUGCUGGGCCAAUACUAACACUGAGAGACGAAAGCGAGGGGAGCAAAUGGGAUUAGAUACCCGUGUGUCC